rnacentral:rRNA from 1 species
GACGAACCGUCCAAACGUUAUUCGGAAUUACUGGGCUUAAAGGGUGCGUAGGCGGCGCGGAAAGUUGGGUGUGAAAUCCCUCGGCUCAACCGAGGAACUGCGCCCAAAACUACCGUGCUCGAGGGAGAUAGAGGUGAGCGGAACUUAGGGUGGAGCGGUGAAAUGCGUUGAUAUCCUAAGGAACACCCGUGGCGAAAGCGGCUCACUGGGGUCUCUUCUGACGCUGAGGCACGAAAGCUAGGGUAGCGAACGGG